rnacentral:rRNA from 1 species
UACGAAGGGUGCAAGCGUUACUCGGAAUUACUGGGCGUAAAGCGUGCGUAGGUGGUUUGUUAAGUCUGUUGUGAAAGCCCCGGGCUCAACCUGGGAAUGGCAAUGGAUACUGGCAAGCUAGAGUGCGGUAGAGGGUAGUGGAAUUCCCGGUGUAGCGGUGAAAUGCGUAGAGAUCCGGAAGAACACCGGUGGCGAAGGCGGUCUGCUGGGCAGUAGCUGACACUGAGGCGCGACAGCGUGGGGAGCAAACAGG